AUGGUGUCACUCAAGCAGUGUAGGGGAAGAGUCUGGUCACCCAGACGUGGCCGGCAGUGUCUGCGGGCAGGACAGCUGAUUGUCCACUGUAUUCAGACCUUGAAAACGAAGAGGAAGAAACGAUGUCAGCAAGAACAUGAGAGACUUGCCCAUUUUAGAGAGAAAGAGGAAGAUACCAAAUGGAAAUCUUCAAAAAUAAAUGAAGAGGUCAGAAAUGGUAAGAGCGGUAACCCCAAGAGUGAUUUUGCAGGAGAGGAAGAGCAACCUGGUGGAAGAGAGAGCGGGUUAGCCCUGGACCUGUUACCAUUCUAG
rnacentral:lncRNA from 1 species